rnacentral:rRNA from 1 species
CAAUAGCGUAUAUUAAAGUUGUUGCAGUUAGAACGCUCGUAGUCGGAUUUCGGGGCGGGCCGACCGGUCUGCCGAUGGGUACGCACUGGUCGGCGCGUCCUUCCUUCCGGAGACCGUGCCUACUCUUAACUGAGCGGGGGCGGGAGACGGAUCGUUUACUUUGAAAAAAUCAGAGUGUUUCAAGCAGGCAGCUCGCUCUUGCAUGGAUUAGCAUGGGAUAAUGAAAUAGGACUUUGGUGCUAUUUUGUUGGUUUCGAACACCGAAGUAAUGAUUAACAGGGACAGUCAGGGGCACUCGUAUUCCGCCGAGAGAGGUGAAAUUCUCAGACCAGCGGAAGGCGAACUACUGCGAAAGCAUUUGCCAGGGAUGUUUUCACUGA